CACACUGUCUGUAUGUGUGUGUGUGUCUGUAUGUGUGUGUCUGUAUGAUAAACACAGACACACAUACAGGCACAUACAUACAGACACACACAUACACAAAAU
rnacentral:miRNA from 1 species